rnacentral:rRNA from 1 species
GAUUAACGCUAGCGGCAGGCAUAAUACAUGCAAGUUGAACGGCAGCACAGGUAGCAAUACUGGGUGGCGAGUGGCGCACGGGUGCGUAACACGUAUGCAACCUACCCUAUACAGGCGAAUAACCUUUAGAAAUGAGGGCUAAUACGCCGUAGUAUUACAGAUGGGCAUCUAUUUGUAAUUAAAGAUUUAUCGGUAUAGGAUGGGCAUGCGUCCCAUUAGUUAGUUGGUAAGGUAACGGCUUACCAAGACGAUGAUGGGUAGGGGAUCUGAGAGGACUUACCCCCACACUGGUACUGAGACACGGACCAGACUCCUACGGGAGGCAGCAGUAAGGAAUAUUGGGCAAUGGCCGCGAGGCUGACCCAGCCAUGCCGCGUGCAGGAAGACGGCCUUAUGGGUUGUAAACUGCUUUUAUACGGGAAUAAUAGAGUGUACGCGUACAUUUAUGCAAGUAUCGUAUGAAUAAGCAUCGGCUAACUCCGUA